AAGGUUUUAAAACAUGUAAAUAUAUAAAUAAGCAAAAUUGAUAUAUUAAAAGGAGCCGUAAUAAGCCUCUCACCCUUUCAAGUAUAAAACAAACUCCUCUGAGGCAAUUUAGUCUCUCAGAAACUUCAAUAUAGGUCAAUGCUCUGUUUAAUUUGCAGCCCGUUCAAAAUCGUUGCGCGCCAUUAUGGAGAUGUAAGAAGUGUCACAUUUACCUUUUAUGGAGUCAUAUCCCAUCUUUCUCGAGGACAUAAUGACGGGACAUAAUGAGCUUGGCUUAAAUGUUUACGCAGCAAUCAUUUCUUUAACGAUUUUCAUUUUCAUUUCAUUUUCAUUCUAUAUGUUUUCGCAUGACGGUAAAAAUUUCCCCUCAUCAGCUCUACACUUACACUUUCUAUACAUUUACAUGAAUUUAGAUAACACGGUAAAUGGUAUACAGCCGUGCUAAGCUUCAUGUAGUCAUAUAAUUAAUACAGCAUGCUCACACUGACCUCUACAGCCCCGUGUGUAUUGCAAUGACCUCUGAACUGCCCGCUUUUUUUUUCCUCCCACUGCGAAAGGAAAUGGUUUAAGAUGCAAACAGUGUAGCAGACAUCCUGACACGAGUAAACACCUUAGAGUUUAAAAAAAAAAAAAAGCUGAUUAUCCUCUUGGUGUGAGCUGCCGGAUGUCAAUGUCAUCCGGUCAGCCGUUGCACCGGCUACAGUGCGUGAUCACGCUUUAAUUCUUCAUAGACUUGGAGUAAGGGGGGGGGAAUGGUGUCACAUGUAACCAAACCAAAUUACCUUUUAGGUUUUUUCUACUACUACCACUCCCAAUGCAACACAAUCAGUAUGUUUACAUGGACAGCAGUAAUCUAAUUAUUGACCUUAUUCUCAAUAAGACAAUAUUCUGAUUAAGGUGUUUACAUAAGUCGCUUUUAGAAUAUUCCUUUCAUGUUCCCGUUUUACACGUUAUAGAACAUAGAGCGAUUAACGGCACACGUCAUUACGUCACCGCGCCACGCCGUCCGACGUCCCUCCAGAAUUUCACCUGUCGACAUACAGUUCGUCUUCGUUAUGGUCCCGUAUACAGUUUUGGGCGUUUCAUUUUUUAUUUCACGAAAGCUUCAAGUGCAGUUAAUUAUUCGUCAUGCUGUACGUGCUAAUAGACGACUGCUUGAAGCCGUGGGCUGCGUCCCGAACCGCGUACUUACCUACUAUAUAGUAGACGAGAUACAUGUAUUUCACCAACUAUAUACUGUAGUAGGUAAGUACGCGGUUUCGAACACAGCCGAGCCGAGGUUCAGCGCUGCCGUGUGUGUACGUGUCCUGUCGCACAACGCGGUGUGAAAACUCCCACACGACGUGAAUAGUGUGAUUAAGGUGUGUACAUGUCUGUAAUACACGUCGAUAAU
ensembl:lncRNA